rnacentral:lncRNA from 1 species
CAGGGGGAGGCAGGGGGAGGCAGGGGGAGGCGCCUGCCGGUCCCAGGGUGGGCCUGAGGAGAGAGCAGGGAGGCCCUGCCUCAGCACCCAGCACGCACUGGGUGAUUCAGGCCGGCUGUGGAGAGGCAGCUGACGGGCACACACCCCGAAACACCCCAAACCUGGAGCCUGCAUGGCGCACACAGAGCUUCUCACAAUCAAGCCCGUUAGAGCCAGCAGGUUUUCCAGAUUCUGAGCAGCAGGCCACUGCAUACAGGUUGGGCGUCCUUAUCUGAAAUGCCUAGGGCCGGAAGUAUUUCCCACUGCAGAGCUUUUUGGAUUUGGGACUAUUUGCAGACUUUACCCAAAAUUCUGAAAAUUGAAAAGUUCAUUCAGGAAUCAAAAAGUUCCUGAGGUGUGAAUCAGAGCCACACAGUUGGGACCCCGGGACCAGAUCAACACAGUUCCAGGUCACCAGAAAACCACUCAAAACCACCUGUUAGUCAGCUGUUCAUCACUGACCAAAAUACAUGACACAACUUCAAGGAGGAGAGAUUUAUUUUUUCCAUGGUUUCACAUGUUCAGCUCUUGGUCGGCCAGCUCCAUUGACCUGGCCUGAGGUCAGGUGGGACAUCACCGUGGAGGACCUGCAGACCGAAGCUGCUCAGUUCCAGGCAACCAGGCAGCAAAGAGGAGGAGCUCAAGGAAGGGGCACCCAAGGACCCACUUUCCUCCCACUAUGCCCCACCUGUCUAUAGCUUCCACCUCCUCUCAGUCAGCCAUUCCAAUCACUAAUCCAUCAAAUGGAUUAAUCCAGUGAUGAGGUCAGACCCCUCGCGGUCCUCUGGACAUUACUACAUCGAGGGCCAAGCCUUGAACACAGGAGUUUUGGGGGGACGUUCCAGAUCCAAACCAUGACACCACCCAACAGUUCAUCACUGGGUUGCCCUCCUAUUAUCAGGAUCUGAGCAUUAUGUUUAUGUUCUGGAUGAGCUCUUUAUCAGACACGAUCUGCACACACUUGCUCCACAUCAUAGCUCCUCUCUGCAUUCUCUUCACAGGGUCAGAGAAAUUCUCAACUUCUACAAAGCCCAAGGUAUCUCCUUCCUCCCUCCCUCCCUCUCUCUCUGGGAUCACACUUUUGGUGCCACAUCGAAGAAGCCCCUGCCUGACCUGAGAUCACCAAGGUCAUCUCCUGAUGGUUCUACAGGUCUGUGGCCCACCUGGAGUUAGGCUUGUGAAUAGUUAAGGCAGGAACAGCCUCCGUCUUCCAAUAUACGGAUAUAGGAGCAUUCCAGCACCAUCUGUAAAGGAUCAUUCUUGGCUAUUAAUCAUUUCUGCACCUUUGAAAAUUUAAAAAAAGGUCGAUGUAUUGUGGAAGCAUGGAUCUUUGGCAUUCUAGUCAGCUUUUCACCACUGCGACCAAAAGACCUGACAACAGCUUCGCAGGAGGGAGAGUUUAUUUGGUUUCAGGAGCUGACUGCACAGCUCUGGGCCUCAGCUGAGGCAGGACACCAGAGGAAAGGCACGGUGGAGGUCAGCAGCUCAGGACAAGGCACCGGGAAGCAGAGCUCUGCUCUCCAGGGACAAAAUAUAAACCCAAAGGCACAGUCCCAGUGACCACUCCUCCAGCCACCCCCCACCCACACAGGGUCACCACCCAGUUACUCCACACAGGGGAUCAAUGCACUGGUUAGGUUUUGCAGGGCUCUCCUAACCCAAUCACUUCACCUCUGAACCUUCUUGCAUCGUUUCACAAAUGAGCUUUUGGAGACACCUCACAUCCAAACCAUAACAAAAACGUAGGUGCACAAAUCCUGAAAUCAUGUUGUGUGGGACCUCCGACUGGCUCUUUUCUCUUAUUUUGUCUAGCUCUGUUUCCAUUUCUAUAUAAAGUUAGAGUCAGCCUGUCCAUUUUCUCUCUCUCCCUUUCACACACACACACUCACAC